ensembl:lncRNA
CAGCCUUUCCAUGCUUUCUACUACUGCUUCUGUAUUUCUCCUGCAGGAAACUUGUAGAGAACUGAAAGCUGAAACAGCUGAACAGCAUUUUCUGACUGAUACCAUGAGAAGUAAUCUGCCUGGAACAGGGAUAUAAAAAUAAAUCCCCGAAGAGAAAUAGUGUCUCAACAUAUCACGAUACAUUGUAGAAAAGAAAAGAAAGGCCAACUGCAGUGAGAUGUUUUUCAUAUUUUGGAAAGUUUUUGGAGAAACGUCGAGUGAGAGGAAGCUGAAGUGGUCUAUUAGAUGGAGGAGUGCUAUUCAAAAGAAAUUUCAAGUGAGACUCUACUGUACUCAGAAGCUGCAAUAUUUAACUCAUGAAUGGAUACAUUAGAAGUCAGACCACACCACCAGCAACAACACCUUUUGCCGGGUAAGAAAUAUAUUAUCUCUUUCAAUCUGAU